CACAAUACAGCAAUGUGGGUUAUCUUCAUGUGGCUCUUGUUCAGCUACAUCAUCUGUAUACUCAAGGCGACCUUGUUGUUCUUCCAAGUUCAGGUUCGUGUAUACUUCCUCAAUAGGUGGAGACAUAUUUAUGUCCAUGGAAGUCUGGUUAUCCAUAAUUUCUUUUGUAGGCUUAAAAAAGAAUGGUAUAUGUAUCCUUAAUUAAGAAUCAAAAAGAGAAUAGAUCAUGCUAAAUUAGCCACUUAUGAAAUUCCCCCACACUUAUCCCAUGCUUGUCCUUAAGCAUGACUAAAACUUCAAUUGACCUCUCAUAGAAGCUCACUUCACCCUAUCACAGCUUUCUUUAGCAAAAGAUUGAAAAAUUGAGAGGAAAGGCAAAUAAGGUAAUAAUCAUUCAUAAUAUAUUCCAUCAAAUCCAUACUAGUAUAUAACAAUCUCAAAACCAUCAUUUUUGGCACAAAACAUAAAGACUUGGAAUAUUUUAGGCAUCCAGAUAGAUUAGGUUCCACAGUAACUUAAGUUGUUGCACCUCAAAACAUAAGGCUAACUUAUUAAGGCAUAAUACUCUAGGAUUUGGAGCAAACAUUCGGAAACUUUGGAGAACUCAUGUGCCUUACCGCUUUUUAGGCAUCCAGAUAGAUUAGGUUCCACAGUAACUUAAGUUGUUGCACCUCAAAACAUAAGGCUAACUUAUUAAGGCAUAAUACUCUAGGAUUUGGAGCAAACAUUCGGAAGGGAAAGAAAGAGCAUUUUUCUUUCUUUUUUUUUUUGGCAAACUUUGGAGAACUCAUGUGCCUUACCGCUUUUUUCAUUCUCUUUUAUUCUGUUUUUCAUUUUUUUUAUUUGUUUGUAAACUUUAGGGAACUCAUGUGCAUUACCGCUUUUUUCAUUCUCUUUUAUUCCUUACUAUAUGCAUUACUGCUUUUCUCGAUCUACAUCUUUCAAUCCCCUAAAACAUGCAACCAUGUAAUCCACAGUAGUGCCUCAAACAGGUUAAACAAAGUUUUGAAAUAUGCACAACAGUGAAUUAAAUACAAACAAAUUGAUGAUUUCACCUAUUAACUCAAGCCUAAACGAUUUAUAAAAAAAAAGAAUGAUUAAGGAAUACCAGUUAUGGUAUGGAGAAAUGGAAGUCUAUCAUUAAGCUUACUGUUAUCUUGCCUAAAAUCUCAAGAAUUCAACCUAAUGCAGAAAAAUCUACUUUAGGACAAAGCACUUCUCUUAAGAGGUCAAAAGAAAGUUAUUAAUCAAGUUAUGACAAGAAAGAAGUUUUGAAAUAAAAUUUUUCAUUUAGCACAACAAACAAUCAAAAUUUCCAGGGGAUAAGCACAAAAAUCAGUCGAAUUUUUAAGAGCACUUGUCAAAAGAAAUAUUUAAAUUGGGUUUUAGAAUAUGGAAAAACUGCUCAAAAAUUCAGUGCUUUACAAAAUAUAAACAAAUUAAACAAAUAAAAGCAAAAUUAAACUCCACCCCCACACUUACUUCCCACAUUGUCCUCAAUGUGGAAUCAUAAAUCAGGCAUAAGGGAGUUUCUAACAACUAAAUAAUUGAGAAAAAAAAUAAAAAGAAAUGAUUAAAGAGUGAAGAAACUUCCCUGUGGAUGAGGUUAUUGCCGUCUCUUUCUAAGCUGGUGGUGGAGGGCGCUUCACAGGUGAGAAGAAAUGAAGACGCUGAUUCCGAUGGUGCUGAUAAGACUCUUGGAUUUUCUAAAUCACAAGAUGUGCCUUUGGAGUAGCUUUGAUGGAGAGAAAGCAAUUGUGGAAGUUGCGCCCGUGGAGGUGUAGAGAAUGACGGCGCUGGUAAAUUAGAUGAGCUAGGAUUUUCUUUUGUUUCUUUUUGCUCUCUCUCUCUCUCUCUCUCUCUCUCUCUCUCACUCUCAUAAAAGUAAAAAUAAAAAGUGAAAAAAAAUUGCAACUAAUGGUAAAGAAAAUAAGAGUGGUAAAUCAGUUAAAAGAAAAACAGAUUAAAAAACAAUUAAAUAACUCUCUUUAAAAAAAUUUACCACCAUAAAAAUAAACAUUAACCAUUAGAGACUUUUCUUUUUAAAUUUUUCACCAUAAAAGGGCUAUUUUGAACCUCUGUAACUCUUCACUUACCCGGUAAAGAAAAGAACAUAUUACAUUAGGAUAAUUAGGAAGAAGAUGAUUAAAAUAAAAUAAAAUAAUCUAAAAACAAAAUAAAGCUACGAAAAUUAGGUUUGGGCAAGCUAAAAAUUGGGUUGCCUCCCAAUAAGCAGUCUUGUUUAAUGUCCCAGGCUAGACAUUCUUAGACUUCUACCAACCCCUUUUAGACCUUUUAAAGUUAUUUCCUUGAUAUCAUGAGUUAAGGGACAAUAAUAUCAACACCACAAACACUAAGCACAUCACAUGGAUCAUACACAUUAAAUUUAAUUAUUUCUCCAUUAAAUUCCAUAGUGAGUGUGCCAUCAUGAGCAUCAAUUUUUGCUCUAGUUGUGCUAAGAAAUGGUCUUCCAAGCAAAAGUUCCGAUGAAGUAGAGGAUUUAUCAUCCUCCAUAUCAAGCACAUAAAAAUCAGCUGGAAAAAUCAACCCAUCUACUUAUACUAAAACAUCCUCUAAUACCCCUUCGGGGUAAAUUAUGAACUUGCCCACCAAUUGAAUUACAAUGGAUGUUUCUUUCAAUGAACCAACAUUUAAAGAAGAGUAAAUAGACAAUGGCAUAACAUUUAUUGAAUAUCCUAAGUCACAUUUAGCUCUUUUUAUUCUAAUAUUGCCUAUUUUACAGGAAAUAGAAAACACACCUUGGUAUUUGCAUUUAGGGGGCAAUUUUCUUUGCAAUAGAGUGAAAACAUUCUCCCCUACAAUUACCUUUUGAUAACCAACCAACUUCUUCUUGUUCAUACAAAGUUCCUUUAAAAAGUUUGCAUAGCGGAGAACUUGCUUGAUUGCAUCGAGCAAUGGUAUAUUCACCUCCACCUUGCGUAAAGUUUUUAGGAUUUCUUUUUCUUCUUUAUCCUUCUUUGAUUUAGCUAAUCUUUUAGGAAAAGGGGGCUGAGUUACCAUUGGACUAGGCAAGUUUACUUCUAAAUCCUCAGUCUGUCCAUUCUUCUGAAUUUCUGUUUCUUUUUAAUCAUCUUUCCUCGAGAUACUAUCACUUUUCUUUAGGGCUGGAAUUCCCAACUCCUUCCCAUUUCUCAAGGAGAUUGCACUUAUAUUUUCCUUGGGAUUAUUGACAGUUUGAGAAGGAAGCUCCCUUGGGACUCCAUUUUGCUUAAAGAGGUAGCUAGUUGGCUUACUUGAUUCUCUAAAUUUUGAAUGCUAGCCUUAUUCUCUUGCUGAAAUUGUUGAGUGUUAGUUGCAAGAGAUUUAACAAUAUCUUCAAGGGACAAACCUAAUUUUUGACCUGUUUGUGACUGUUGAAAUGGUCCAAGUUGAUAUUAAUGGGAGUUUUGUUGUCUUGCUCCAUAGCUAAAGUUUGGAUGAUCUCUCCACCUCGGAUCAUACAUGUUUGCAUAAGGAUCAUACAUCCUUUGGGGCUGUCCUGGAAAUCCUCCAAUUGCAUUUACUUGUUCUUGAUCUCCUUCUUGUAAUGACGGACACAUAUCGGUUGGAUAUCUAGAAAAAGCAAAAAUCCCACACACUUUAGCUUGUAAAGACAUACCUGUAACAAUACUUUGAACCAAAGAAGUUAUCUUAUUAAGUUUACUCUCAAUAGAGGAAUCACUUACCUGAUUAACUUUCCGGGGUAUAUCUUGACGUCUCCCAAACUGUUGCGUGUUUGCAGCCAUGGUGGAUAUCAUUUCUCGAGCUUGUUGAGGGGUUUUGUUAACAAGAGCCCCUCCACUUGCUGCAUCAACCAUUCUCCUUCCUAAAUCCAACAUUCCCUCAUAGAAAUAUUGAAUUAAUGACUGUUCAGUAAUUCCAUGUUGUGGACAGCUUGCACAUAAUCUUUUAAACCUCUCCCAAUAAUCAUGGAGAGUAUCUAUAUCUUUUUGCUUGAUUCUGCUUAUCUCCCUUCAAAUUAUGGUUGCUCUUGAGGCUAGAAAAUAUUUUUCCAAGAAGAAUCAAACCAUAUCAUUCCAUGAUGUAAUUGAACUCGGAAGUAGAAUAACCAAUGUUUGGUGGCAUCUUGCAAAGAGAAUGGAAAUGCUCUCAACUUAAUCUGCUCUUCCGUUACCCCUUGUGGUCUCAUACUUGAACAUACCACAUGAAAUUCCUUCAAAUGUUUAUGUGGAUCUGCAUUCUCCAAUCUGCGAAAGGUAGGAAGUAAGUGAAUCAAUCCUGAUUUCAGUUCAAAUGCCACCUCCAUAUUUGGAUAAGUGAAGCAAAGAGGUUCUUGGUCCAAUGGAGGUGCGUGUAGCUGCCUCACAGUUUGUUCUUCACCCAUCUCUUCUUCUUCCUCAGAUUCGGUUGAAGACUCUGUCAAAUCAGGUGUUGCUUCCUCUAAAAGCGAUUUAGAAGAUGUAGCUUCUUUUUCCUCUAGCUAUUUUGCUUCUUUUCUCAAUGCACGAGCUUUCUUCUUAAUUUCUGGUUUAAAGUUUAGCUUAGUAUUUUUAGACCUAGUCAUCAAAGAAACAAAUCAAAACAAAAUAACCCCCAGCAACAGUGCCAAAAUUUGAUGGGUGUCGAGACGACCAAAAAUAAUUCCUGCUCUUUCUAACCUAGGUAAUUGGUAGAUAUGGUGAGAAGGGUCGAACCCUAGAGACUAAUUCAAACUAAUUCUUAAUUGAGGACCAGUAAAUCAAAGAAUAAAAGUAAAAAGGGGGUGUUGUUUAUCAAAGAAGAUAUAGUAAUCGCAAGGCAUUUAAAAUAACUAGAGUGCAAUAAAAAUAAAAGAUUUAAAUUAAUAGGGAAAGAUUAGUCAAAAGUGAUUCUUACUACGAAAUUCUCUUGAUUGAUCAUUGACACUGAGAUCAUUCAAUAAUUCGAAAGGUCGACAGGUUAUAAUCCUUGAACAAGUGUCGCAAAAAAAUCUUUCCGUAUUAUUAGAUUUUACAAGACAAGCGCUGAGAAUAAUCCCUAACUAGUAAAUAACCCUAAACAAGCCAUAAAAUUUAAUUUGCUAGUAGCAAUAAAAACAAGAAAAACCCUGCCCUAAUUAACAAACUCUACAAGCGAAAUUAAUUUAAAUUAGGCUAUGAGUUUUCAUAAUAUAAUCCAAAAGCCUAGUUACAAUUAAAUUAUACUAUUUACUACUUGAAUCAACUCAAUUAAACAAUUACAGAUUUAAUCUCAUUGAUUAGCUAUAUGCAUUCCUAUUAAGUUGAACAACUGGCCAAAUUGAACAAACAAUAAGAUAAAAAUGGAGAUGGAGUUUCUCAUAUAUGCAGAAAAAUAGAUAAAUACUGAUGAAAUUAAAGAAGAAAAUAAAUAAAUUAAGAUAUCAAAAUCAUUGAAGAACUUCUACUUCGAAUUCAACCUUUGACCGAAAAUAAAAGUUCAGCAACGCAUGGCCAUAGAGAAAACGCAAAAAAUAAAAAUAAAAAAACCUAAAGGAACAUGCAAUUGAAAAGAUAAAAAAGGCCUACUACGCAAUAAACUUAAUGUUGUAUUUAUAGAAGAAGGAAAAAUCCUAAACUAGGAAAAUAAAUCUCAAAUCAGUUACAAAAAUAAAAUAUUUGAUUUUGAGUAUCUUCCUAAUUCCCUAAUUCAUGGUUCAGUUGCUUUAAAUGACUUUCUGGAGUAAGCCCGAAGUAAUCUUAUCCGACAAACAUCUUAAUCCUGCCCAGCCUUGACGCGCCUCCCUUACCCUUGCCCAAGGUUAAUUUGUAAACUUCCAAGAGGUUAUGGAUAUAUUCUAGACGCGACUCCCUUAGCCUUGCACAAGGCUAAAUCUUCAACUUCCAGAGAGUUUCAACAAUUACUUGGACUUCAGCUCCAACCUAGCACAUUUUUCCAAAACUUCAAGAAUUGGCAUCCAAAAGCUUCUUAUCCAAAUAUUUUAGCAUGAACUAAGAAAACUAUGAAAACAAAGUAACCAUUCUCAUAAAAAAGGGAAUAGAUCAUGUUAAAUUAGCCACUUAUCAUUAGUGGUGGUGAUGGUGGUAGAGUGGUGGUUGUGGUGGUGGUUGAGAAUGGAUAUAGGCUUUGAGGAAUGUAAUGGGCUUUACUUAUAAUUUUUUAUAUAAUGAAUAUUAUAUCAAUUCAAGUAGUGAAGAUUACACAUGCAAUUUCAAUUAUAUUACAAGAUUUAAAAAAAAAAAUCUAACCAAAUAAUGUAAUUAGCCAUGUAAUGUAAUUCUCAUGUCAUUACAUUGUUGAUUGCUAAAUUUAAUCCUAUUCUUAUAGUUUUGUCAAGAAAUAAUAGUGUUGUCUUUACUAAAUUUAAUCCUAUCCUAUCCAUCUCAAUGUUUCCUUCUUCAUUCAUACUUUUAUGUAUAACUCUACAUGUUGCUUCCUCGUAGGUAAUUUUUAUAAUUAUUUUGGUUUAGUUUUAUUGGGAAAUUUUGGUAGUUUUUAAUUAAUUUAGGUAGUUUGUAUUUAUGUUUUAUGUUUAAUUUUUAAUUUUUAAUUUUGCUUCCUUGAUUUUCUUGAGUUCAUAGGAUACCCAUUGUGGCCGUGUUAGACUACCUAGUCUGUGUUACGUGCUAGAAUGGACGUGAUUUCUGCAUGAUUUUGCAUGGGGCCACGUAAAUAUGUGGCUUAUUUGAGUUUCGAUUUCCUAUUUAGGAAGAAAUUGGAGGUUGGAUCUUUUUCCUACUAUGAUUAAAAUUCUUCCUCAACAAGUUAAGCUAUUUUCCUAAUUAAUUCUAAAAAGGCCUAGAUGAUUGAAGUCUAUAUAUAAGAAAGCUAUCACAUAUGAGACUGGGUUUUCACACGUCCAUAUUCUCUAUACCAUUCAUAUUUCUCUUAGCUUCAAGACUUCUUGAGAUCAAGAUUCAAGAAGCAGGUCAAGCUUCAAACGAGUUCUUUUCCAAAACUGUUCUUGUAUUUACUUUCAUAAUGUUUUUAGCAGUAUUUGCAAGUUUGUUGGAGUUAACUAAUUUCUCUAUGAUGUUUAACCACAUUUUUUAGUAGGGAUUUGAUGUAAC
rnacentral:lncRNA from 1 species